GGAAACCACAUCGUGGACUGGACCUUCAAGGCCCAGGCUGCAUCGGACCAGGAGCGAGUAUGCUGCACCUGACACACUAAAGCAGAUGACAAAAGACCGCUGCAUUCAUGAGGAGGACCCUGUCUGGAGUCACAGAAGUAUAACCUCAAGCACUCAUGUACAUCAAGAGAUUCACUCCUCUAGCACCUUGCAACUGGAUUCAAAACCAUUUCUAUACUGGUUUUACGAAUGGAACAUACUGCGCUAUAGAGCAUUGGAGUGACCCGUGCAAGUUCAUAGAUCUAGCAUCUCCAUCCCAUCCCUAGAAGCUUGAUGCCCUCAUGAUACCUACUGGAUUCUCACCCAGGGCUGCCUUGUCCCUGCUGCAAAAUUAGUCCUCUCGUUUCUUAUCAAGAUGGCCAACCUCCUAUCAAUAAUGCAGAUAUAAACAAACACUGUCAAUGUCAGAAAUUGAAAAGCUGAGCCCUGUUAGAGGAACUAGAAACUUCAUUACAGUCUGUGCCAUGCAUUUUUAAUCUUUUUUUUUUAUUUAUUGCCUACUGUGCUCACUCUUAAAUGUGUUUUGUUUAAUCUUUUCUAAUCAGUCUGUUAGAAACUUUAGGCAGGAGACAUAUGAUACAGUCUUCUGAAUCCUCCACAAAACUUGGUAUUUCAGUCAUAGGAGACUAGUCUGUUAAAAUUAAGUUGAGGGGCACCUGGGUGGCUCAGUCAGUUAAGAGUCCAACUUCGGAU